UACGAAGGGGGCGAGCGUUGUUCGGAAUCACUGGGCGUAAAGCGCGUGUAGGCGGUCCGGUAAGUCCGCCGUGAAAGUCCAGGGCUCAACCCUGGAAUGCCGGUGGAAACUGUCGGGCUGGAGUCCGGAAGAGGCGAGUGGAAUUCCUGGUGUAGCGGUGAAAUGCGCAGAUAUCAGGAGGAACACCAAUGGCGAAGGCAGCUCGCUGGGACGGUACUGACGCUGAGGAGCGAAAGCGUGGGGAGCAAACGGG
rnacentral:rRNA from 1 species